CCUACGGGUGGCAGCAGUGGGGGAUAUUGGACAAUGGGGGGAACCCUGAUCCAGCGACGCCGCGUGAGUGAAGAAGGAUUUCUGUAUGUAAAGCUCUGUCAGCAGGGAAGAAAGAAAGGACGGUACCUGACCAAGAAGCCACGGCUAACUACGGGCCAGCAGCCGCGGUAAUACGUAGGGGGCAAGCGUUAUCCGGAAUUACUGGGUGUAACGGGAGCGUAGCCGGCUGUGGCCGUCUGGAGUGAAAGGCGGGGGCCCAACCCCCGGACUGCUCUGGAAACUGUAUGGCUGGAGUGCAGGGGUGGUAAGCUGCAUUCCUCGUGUAGCCGUGCACUGCGUAGAUAUUAGGCGGAACCCCAGUGGCGACGGCGGCUUACUGGACUGUAACUCCCGUUGAGGCUCG
rnacentral:rRNA from 1 species